CCAGCAGCCGCGGUAAUACGGAGGAUCCAAGCGUUAUCCGGAAUCAUUGGGUUUAAAGGGUCCGCAGGCGGUUGUUUAAGUCAGAGGUGAAAGUUUGCAGCUCAACUGUAAAAUUGCCUUUGAUACUGAAUAACUUGAGUUAUAAUGAAGUGGUUAGAAUAUGUAGUGUAGCGGUGAAAUGCAUAGAUAUUACAUAGAAUACCGAUUGCGAAGGCAGAUCACUAAUUAUAUACUGACGCUGAGGGACGAAAGCGUGGGGAGCGAACAGGAUUAGAUACCCUGGUAGU
rnacentral:rRNA from 14 species